UAUGCUUACUUGCCUGAAGGGGAACGCUUUUAUAGCACUGGAUUGGCAGCCGUGUGCCGGGCCACCUGGAACUGCAGAAACCGAGCCACCUUUGAGUUUAAGAAACUUGCAUCUCCUUUUGAGAUUGUCUUUGCAGCAAGCGUUCAUUUAUCUUAUUGGGCAGGGCUACUGAAGGGAGGGGAUUGA
rnacentral:rRNA from 1 species